GACGAACGCUGGCGGCGUGCCUAAUACAUGCAAGUUGAGCGCUGAAGGUUGGUACUUGUUCCAACUGGAUGAGCAGCGAACGGGUGAGUAACGCGUGGGUAAUCUGCCUUUGAGCGGGGGACAACAUUUGGAAACGAAUGCUAAUACCGCAUAAAAACUUUAAACACAAGUUUUAAGUUUGAAAGAUGCAAUUGCAUCACUCAAAGAUGAUCCCGCGUUGUAUUAGCUAGUUGGUGAGGUAAAGGCUCACCCAGGCGAUGAUACAUAGCCGACCUGAGAGGGUGGUCGGCCACAAUGGGACUGAGACAAGGCCCAAACUCCUACGGGAGGCAGCAGUAGGGAAUCUUCGGCAAUGGAGGAAAGGCUGACCGAGCAACGCCGCGGGAGGGAAGAAGGGUCUCGGAUCGUAAAACUCUGUUGGUAGGGAAGAACGUUAGUGGGAGUGGAAAGCUCAUCAAGUGACGGUAACUACUCAGAAAGGGACGGCUAACUACGUG
rnacentral:rRNA from 1 species